GCCUCGUGGAUCUGCUCAGGGCAGAUGAAAUGGACGUGGGUGUCCACGCCGCCCGCGGUGAGAAUCCGCCCGUUGCCGGAGAUGACCUCGGUACUCGGACCGACCACGAAGUUCGUCGGCUUCGCCGUCUCCGGCAGCGUGUCACCCGGGAGCGUACGGUCCGGCAUCUCGAACUCGUCGGCCGGGAUCGGGGUCAUCGUCUCGGGGUUGUACGCCUUGCCGAUGGCCUCAAUUUUGCCGUCUCGGAUGCCGACGUCGGCUUUGACCACCCCCCACCAGUCGAGGAUCAGCGCGCCGGUGAUGACCGUGUCCACGGGCAUACGGCCUCCAGCGUCCCCCUUCCUGGGGAUGUGGGACAUGCCCAUCGACUCGCGGAU
rnacentral:sRNA from 1 species